CAGUCGCCGCGGUAAUACGUAGGUGGCAAGCGUUGUCCGGAAUUAUUGGGCGUAAAGGGCUCGCAGGCGGUUUCUUAAGUCUGAUGUGAAAGCCCCCGGCUCAACCGGGGAGGGUCAUUGGAAACUGGGAAACUUGAGUGCAGAAGAGGAGAGUGGAAUUCCACGUGUAGCGGUGAAAUGCGUAGAGAUGUGGAGGAACACCAGUGGCGAAGGCGACUCUCCGGUCUGUAACUGACGCUGAGGAGCGAAAGCGUGGGGAGCGAACAGGAUUAGAUACCCCAGUAGUCCCUGUCUCUUAUAC
rnacentral:rRNA from 1 species